GACGAACGCUGGCGGCGUGCUUAACACAUGCAAGUCGAACGGAAAGGCCCUGCUUUUGUGGGGUGCUCGAGUGGCGAACGGGUGAGUAACACGUGAGUAACCUGCCCUUGACUUUGGGAUAACUUCAGGAAACUGGGGCUAAUACCGGAUAGGAGCUCCUGCUGCAUGGUGGGGGUUGGAAAGUUUCGGCGGUUGGGGAUGGACUCGCGGCUUAUCAGCUUGUUGGUGGGGUAGUGGCUUACCAAGGCUUUGACGGGUAGCCGGCCUGAGAGGGUGACCGGGCACAUUGGGACUGAGAUACGGCCCAGACUCCAACGGGAGGCAGCAGUGGGGAAUAUUGCACAAUGGGCGGAAGCGUGAUGCAGCAACGCCGCGUGCGGGAUGACGGCCUUCGGGUGAUAAACCGCUUUCGCCUGUGACGAAGCGGGAGUGACGGUAAUGGGUAAAGAAGCACCGGCUAACUACGUG
rnacentral:rRNA from 1 species